CAAAUGAACUCGGAGACGCUGGCGAGAGCCCCGGGAAGAGUUUUCUUUUCUUUUUAACGAUUGCAUCGACCAUGGAAUCAGAUUGCCUGGAGAUAUGGUUGGCAGUGCAAGCUUUUUCGGUAAAGCACCAUAUUUUUUUGUGGUGUCCGGUGCGCUCUCGACGGCCCGUGAAAAUCCGAGGGAAAGAUUUAUUCUCACACCUGGUCGUACUCAUAACCGCAGCAGG
rnacentral:rRNA from 1 species